UACGUAGGGGGCCAGCGUUGUCCGGAAUCAUUGGGCGUAAAGGGUGCGUAGGCGGCGCGGUAAGUCGGGUGUGAAAUCUCGGAGCUUAACUCCGAAACUGCAUUCGAUACUGCCGUGCUUGAGGACUGGAGAGGAGACUGGAAUUUACGGUGUAGCGGUGAAAUGCGUAGAUAUCGUAAGGAAGACCAGUGGCGAAGGCGGGUCUCUGGACAGUUCCUGACGCUGAGGCACGAAGGUCAGGGGAGCAAACGGG
rnacentral:rRNA from 1 species